rnacentral:rRNA from 1 species
AACGAACGCUGGCGGCAUGCCUAACACAUGCAAGUCGAACGAGACCUUCGGGUCUAUUGGCGCACGGGUGCGUAACGCGUGGGAACCUACCCUUAGGUUCGGAAUAACUCCCCUAAGGGGGUCCUAAUGCCGGAUAGUGUCUUCGGACCAAGGAUUUAUCGCCUUUGGGUGGGCCCGCGUUGGAUUAGCUAGUUGGUAGUGUAAAAGCCUAGCAAGGCGACGAUCCAUAGCUGGUCGGAGAGGAGGAUCAGCCACACUGGGAAUGAGACACGGCCCAGACUCCGACGGGAGGCAGCAGUGGGGAAUAUUGGACGAGGGGGGAAAGCGCGACAACGCCACGUGGGGGGAGUGAUGCAGGGCUUAGGGUUGUAAAGCUCCUUUACACGGGAUGAUAAUGACAGUACCGGGAGAAUAAGCACCGGCUAACUACGUG